rnacentral:lncRNA from 8 species
AGGAAAAUCAUCCAAAGAAAAAAGGAUGUGACAAAGGCAUCGUGAAGAAGUUUUAAAUGAGACUUGACCGCAUAUUUGGUAAGCAAGAAGUACGUUUCUGUCUCAAGAUCGAAGCAUUAUAGGUCUACAUUGAAGUGGAUCAGUUAUGGUACUACAAUAAUGAAUUAUUCUUUAUUUAUUUAGACUACAAUGGCUUAGUUAAUCAAUGAGCAACGUGUUAUUUGAACAGUGUUCUGCAGGUCCUCUUCAUGACUAAGGACUUCAGAGAGGCUGUGGAAAGUCACUGUGGUCAAGAUCAGAAGACUGCUGAUUUUCACCUGAAAAGCCUAUUUAAGACGUUAAAGACAAGUGAAACUCACACAAAGGACAUCUUAUCCAUACUGGGCAUUGGAAAUGGUGAGUUUGAUGUUGAUAUCCUGCUGAGAAAAAGUAUAUAUUUUACCUAACUUUUAUAAAUAUACAAGGGCUCUAUUAGCAUUAUAAAUUCUAAAAAGUAUAAUACAUUCCUUUCCUGCAGUCAAAUGACCUAGUGGCCUCAUGGGUGGAAUGUUAAUAUUUUUCAUAAUUUCAUAAUUAAUGAACAUGUAAAAAAUAAAAUGCCUUAAAUCCAGUGUUACUAUGUCAAAUAUAUAUACAUGGCCUUCCGAGUC